rnacentral:misc_RNA from 1 species
GAUGAAGAACGUAGCGAAAUGCGAUAAGUAAUGUGAAUUGCAGAAUUCAGUGAAUCAUCGAAUCUUUGAACGCACAUUGCGCCCGCCAGUAUUCUGGCGGGCAUGCCUGUUCGAGCGUCAUUUCAACCAUCAAGCCCCAGGCUUGUGUUGGGGACCUGCUGCUGCCGCAGGCCCUGAAAACCAGUGGCGGGCUCGCUGUCACACCGGGCGUAGUAGAUUUUAUCUCGCUCAGGGCGUGCUGCGGGUUCCGGCCGUUAAAAAGCCUUUUUUACCCAAGGUUGACCUCGGAUCAGGUAGGAAGACCCGCUGAACUUAAGCAUAUCAAUAAGCGGAGGA